rnacentral:tRNA from 1 species
GAGGGUAUAGCUCAGGGGCAGAGUGCCUGCUUAGCAUGCACAAGGUCCUGGGUUCAAUCCCCAGUAUCUACA